CGGCGAGCCCGCAGCUCGGCUGGGCCCGGCAGCAUCGCAUUGCCCCGCGUCCCGCAGGAUUUCCCAUUCCCAAACCUCAUCUGGAUGGAGAAGGCUGUGAGGAAGAGGAAGAUGCCCCAGGGCACUGAGGCAGGGAAGGAGCUGAGGAUGGAGACCAGGGAGGACAAAUCCCCACAGCAGAACCUGGUGGAAGAGGCCGUUUUGAGUGGCUCCAGGGCACAGGAAUCCACCGGGGAGGAAAAGCCCCGGAGAUCCCACAGGA